UACUGCUAUCGGGGUCCGACUAAGCCAUGCGAGUUGAAUGUCCGAAAGGGCAUAGCGCACUGCUCAGUAACACGUGGACAACCUGCCCUGAGGACUGGAAUAAUCCCGGGAAACUGGGGGUAAUUCCAGAUAUGUCAGAACUCCUGGAAUGGGUUCUGGCAGAAAGGCUCCGGCGCCUCAGGAUGGGUCUGCGGCCUAUCAGGGUAGUAGUGGGUGUAACGUACCUACUAGCCUACGACGGGUACGGGUUGUGAGAGCAAGAGCCCGGAGAUGGAUUCUGAGACAUGAAUCCAGGCCCUACGGGGUGCAGCAGGCGCGAAAACUUUACAAUGCGGGCAACCGCGAUAAGGGGACCUCGAGUGCUGGGUUACAAACCUGGCUGUUGGGCUGCCUAAAAAGCAGUCUAUAGC
rnacentral:rRNA from 1 species